ensembl:lncRNA
GCUGCUGUUGAUAGUCCACGUGAAAGACUCUCUGGAGAGCUACUAAGGUCUUUGAUGAUAUGAGUACCACGAACCCAAUCCCAAAGGCUCCAACUGUACUCAGAAGAGGUUCAGUCCACAGAUUUAUACAUCCAUUAUUUCAAGGUUGCUGCUGAGCCCGAGGUUCACAUCUGUCUUUCUCCCUUUUAAAAGGUGUUUCCCUACUCCAGGAGCUGUCUCACCUUUUGCCCAGGCAGCAGCGGAUGAACUUGAUGACUUCAGAGGCCUUUCCAAUCCCACAUCCAUGGCCUCUGAAUAUUUGGAGGGAUGUUCAAAUAUGCAGCACCACUCCAGGCUCUGGGCUGGAACUGUGAAUGCUCAGCGUGGGUUUCCUGAAUCUCUCUACUCUGAAUCAGCUUCUACACAGAACGAAUCUAUGUGGCCUCAUUAGUACCUUCCCUAAAAAGCAUCUUUCAGAG